AGGCAUCCUCAAGAUGAAAGGUGUGACCCUGUUGUGAGGAGCCCUGGAGUGGUCUGUGCAGGAGCCUCUUCUCCUGCUCUCCAUCCUGGCGUGUCUUUUGACUGACCAGGGAAAACCCAAGACCUGCGUCCCCUUCUCCAAGGUCCCCCACGACUUUGGAUUUCUCUAGGUUGAACCUUUUCCCUCCAGCUUCCAUGUCAACACAGACUUGGGUCUUAUCCCUUUGGGAUUGCGAGGCCUUGGAGCUCUGCUGGGCAGAACUAUGGGGCACUGCUUUGGAAGGAGGAGGCCUUUGCGCCUGACACACAUCCUGUACUGCAGAAGCUGGCUGUUUUUUAGGGUGGACCCCUUUUGCAUUUGGGGCUGGCAGAGAUGGGCAUGCGACAGGCUGUUCCUGAAGCAGUGUGCUCUCUGACAUGUGUAGACUUCUGAGAAAUUCCUGGAUGGAUUCGCUCUCUAGGUCGGCUGUACCCAGCUCCUUGUAUUCUCUCUUUUCCUUUUCAGAAAUCCCAAACUGCAUUGCUAGGAUCUUUUUUUUCAGGUGGAAAUUCAGUUUGGCCAAGAUAUGUGUGUUUAUUGGGUAGGGUCUGCAUGGGGGAGGCUGACUCUCUGCAGGCACCUUCUCUGUCCUUCUGUCCGCCUCUGCUCCAGGCUGGAACUCUUCUGCAGUGUCCGCAGACACCC
rnacentral:lncRNA from 1 species